GCUGGGAGUGGUGGCGCAUGCCUGUAGUCCCAGCUACUCAGGAGGCUGAGGCAGGAGGAUUGCGUGAGUCCAGGAGUUCUGGGCUAUAGUACACUAUGCUGAUCAGGUGCUUAGCCUCAAUUUGGUGACUUCCCAGAAGUGGGGACCACCAGGUUGUCUAAGGAGGGGUGAACUGGCCCAGUUCAGAAAUAAAGCCAGUCAAAACUUCCAUGCUGAUCAACAGAGAAAGAUACCUGAUGUUGACCUCUGGCUGACACAUGCAUUCAUACAUUC
rnacentral:SRP_RNA from 1 species